AUAUUCUCCAAGGGGGAAUGGAUAAUAUGGAAAUAUUGGCAUAGGAAAGCCAAAACAUUUGCUAAGUGUUCGAUUUACGUCUGAUGAGUUCGAAUCUCAUUAUUUCCGAUAAAAAUAAUAAUAUAAAAAAUAUAACAGUAAGAAUAAUAAGAGAUAUGAAAUGAAUUUAAUAAAUUAUAAGAUAUGUUAAUGGAUAUAAAGGUUUAUCAUAGAUAGGAUAAAAAUCAAAGGAGUGAAUUAACUUAAUUAGGAAUAACUAAUUAACAAUUAAGAACAAGAAUGAGAAAUCCUAAAGGAAACUAAAUAAAUAUUAGGUGAGAAUUUAAUAUAUAUGAAGGGACAGUAUGAACUGAAACAUCUAAGUAAUACUAGGAAAAAAAAUCAAUCGAGAUACUUUAAGUAACGGCGAGUGAAAGAAGUUAAAGUCUAAUAAGUAGGUAGUGAAAAUUAUUGAAUAACGGAUUAACCAAUUCGAAGACUAAAUACUAUGAUAAAGCCACAUGAGUACCGUGAGGGAAAUAAUAAAAAUUGACAUAUUUAGAGCAAUAUGAUAAUAGGGUAAUACCUUAAAUCAUAUGUACCUUGUGUAUAAUGGGCCAACAAGUUAAUUAAUCUAGCAAAGUUAAAAAAAUAACUAAAGUUAAAACGAAUAAUUAUUAUAUAUUGAUAAUUAAUAGUUAGAUUAUUUAGACCCGAAACAUAAUGAUUUAACCUAGUUCAGGUACAUUAGUGACCGAACCAGUUGAUGUUGCAAUAUCAUUGGAUGAAACUAGGUUGGCAAGUGAAAUGCUAAUCGGAUUAUGAGAUAGCUGGUUCUCUGCGAAAUAUAUUUUAGUAUAGACUUAGAAAUUAUUUUAAUCAUGUAACAGCAAUUAAUUACUAUCUUAGGAUAUAUCAUGGGGUCUUUAACUAGAUUUAUGUGAGUAAUUUAAACUCGAAAUCAUGAUUAAAUUUAUCUAAGAUUCAGAAUUAUGGCGAUAAGGUCGUGGUUCAAAGGGGAAACAGCCCUAAACGUAAAAUAAAGUCCCAAAAGGAUAAUGCCCACUCGCUAAGCGAGUAGGGGAUCAUCUAGCAUUUUAUGCUAGAUAAUUAAGUGAAAUUAAGAUGGAAUAAUAUAAAGACAAUAGGUUAGUGGGUUUGAUAAUAAUCAUCUUUUAAUGAAAAUGUAACAAUUUACCUAUCUAUAGUAUUAUAUCAUCGACGAUAUAACGGGUCUUAAAUUAUCUACUGAAUUUACGUAUGACUAUAUGUUUUUAUAUAAAACUAUAGUUAUUGGUAGCAGAGCAUUGUAUGAAAUUGAAAUUUAUAUUUUUAAUUUAAAUUUUUAUAAUACAAUAGAGAAUGUUGGCAUGAGUAACGUCAAAGGAUGAAUAUUCGCAUUGCGAAUAUGAUUAAACAUCCUCACCUUAUACUUAAGGUUUUACUAUAAAAUCGGCCUUUAAGAAAAUAUAAUAAAUUAUAUUUUCGAUAAUUAUAAUUUGAAUGUAAAAAAGUUUGAUUUAUAAAGAAAAUUACGUAAGAAAUAGUUUUACAUUUACAGUUAUGCUGUAAAUGUUCCUUUAGGGUUUACCCGAGGAGUUAUAAAAAGAAUUCAAGAAAAUAAACAUAAUUUAAAGAACACCGUAAUGUAAACCGACACUGGUAAGUAAGUAGAGUAUAUGAAGGUGAACUAAAAAAUUAAAGCUAAGGAACUCGGCAAAAAGAUUAUCUAAAGUUCGUCUAUUAGAUAAAUUCGUGCAAACGAAAACAAAAACUAAGUUGUGCAACUGUUUACUAAAAACACAUCACGAUGCUAAUAUUUUAAUUAGUCGUAUAUCGUGUGAAACCUGCUCAAUUAUUUAAAUAAUAAUUAUUAUACUUUACGCUCCGCGUAAGGAACUGAUAUUUAAAAUUAGAUGAAAUAGCGGUCUUAACGUGAGGAUCCGAAGGUAGCGAAAUUCAUUGUCCACUAAUUAUGGUCCUGCAUGAAUGGCGCAAUGAUGCAACAACUGUCUUGGCUUUAAUUUAGGUGAAAUUGAAAUAGCUGUGAAGAUGCAGUUUACCCGCAGAUAGACAGAAAGACCCUAUGCAACUUAACUGUAGUAUGUUAUUGGUUAUCAGUUUUAUAUAUUUAUUUUGUUUACAAAAUGACUCCCUUUGGGGAGUUAUAUAUAAAAUAGAUAGUUAUCAUUUUCAUUGGAGUAAUAUAAUAGUUAAUUUUAACAAAAUUUGAGAAAUUAUAACGUUAAUGAUAUAACCCCUAAUCUAUUUUUAUAGAGACAGUGACAUAUUGGCAGUUUAGAUGGGGCGUCAGUUUCAGCAAAAGUAUCUGAAACAUCCAAGUAAUAAAAUAACCACUUUUUCUCUCAGAGAAAAAUUUAGGUAAAAUUAAUAACUUACGCAAAGCGUAAGGAACUAUGUAUUUACAAAUUUAUAGUAAAAUAUAAUUGUAAUAAUAGAAUAUUAGUUAGGAUAGCCAUUUGCAAGGAAAGCAAAGAAAUUAAAAAAUUUCAUAGGUAGUAUAAUAGCAUAAACCUAACUUAAUUAAGACUAUGACACUAGGAUUAAGCUCGUAAGAGAGGUAUAGUGAACAGAUUAGAUUAUUUUUCUAGGUUAGACUAAUCGAUAAUGAAUAAAAGUUACGCUAGGGAUAACAGGCUAAUAUAGUGAAAGAGUACAAAUUGUAAACUAUGUUUGGCACCUCGAUGUCGACUCAACUUAUCCUGAUGGUGUAGUAGCUAUCAAUGGUUCGACUGUUCGUCGAUUAAAAAGUUACGUGAGUUGGGUUAAAUACGUCGUGAGACAGUAUGGUUCUUAUCUUCUGUGGGACAAUAUCAAGAAUAUUCCGAUAUCUAGUACGAAAGGACCGAUAUCCAUAAACCAAUUGUUAUUUGUAAAAUUAUUUUAAUACAAAUUAGCUACGUUUAUUAUUAAUAAGAAUUGAACGCAUCUCAAAUUCGAAGUUAUAUAUUGGAGAUAUAUAUAUUUUUAAAGUAGACUACUUUAUUUUCGUAUUUAUACGAAUUGUGAGGUCUAGAUUUACAUUUUGUAAAUGAUGACUAUUAAUUAAAAUUAAUUUAUUAAAUUUCUUAUCUCUUAUUCUUU
rnacentral:rRNA from 1 species